GCUGGCUCCGGCAGUUCACAUACUAAAAUCGGAGUGAUACAGAGAAGGCUAGAGUAGUCCCUAUGCAAGGAUGACACGCAAAUUUGUGAAGUAUUCCAUAUUUUU